GGUUAAGCGACUAAGCGUACACGGUGGAUGCCCUGGCAGUCAGAGGCGAUGAAGGACGUGCUAAUCUGCGAAAAGCGUCGGUAAGGUGAUAUGAACCGUUAUAACCGGCGAUGUCCGAAUGGGGAAACCCAGUGUGAUUCGUCACACUAUCGUUAACUGAAUACAUAGGUUAACGAGGCGAACCGGGGGAACUGAAACAUCUAAGUACCCCGAGGAAAAGAAAUCAACCGAGAUUCCCCCAGUAGCGGCGAGCGAACGGGGAGCAGCCCAGAGUCUGAAUCAGCUUGUGUGUUAGUGGAACGGUCUGGAAAGUCCGACGGUACAGGGUGAUAGUCCCGUACACCAAAAUGCACAGGUUGUGAACUCGAAGAGUAGGGCGGGACACGUGGUAUCCUGUCUGAAUAUGGGGGGACCAUCCUCCAAGGCUAAAUACUCCUGACUGACCGAUAGUGAACCAGUACCGUGAGGGAAAGGCGAAAAGAACCCCGGCGAGGGGAGUGAAAAAGAACCUGAAACCGUGUACGUACAAGCAGUGGGAGCACCUUCGGGUGUGACUGCGUACCUUUUGUAUAAUGGGUCAGCGACUUAUAUUCUGUAGCAAGGUUAACCGUAUAGGGGAGCCGCAGGGAAACCGAGUCUUAACUGGGCGUUAAGUUGCAGGGUAUAGACCCGAAACCCGGUGAUCUAGCCAUGGGCAGGUUGAAGGUUGGGUAACACUAACUGGAGGACCGAACCGACUAAUGUUGAAAAAUUAGCGGAUGACUUGUGGCUGGGGGUGAAAGGCCAAUCAAACCGGGAGAUAGCUGGUUCUCCCCGAAAGCUAUUUAGGUAGCGCCUCGUGAACUCAUCUUCGGGGGUAGAGCACUGUUUCGGCUAGGGGGUCAUCCCGACUUACCAACCCGAUGCAAACUACGAAUACCGAAGAAUGUUAUCACGGGAGACACACGGCGGGUGCUAACGUCCGUCGUGAAGAGGGAAACAACCCAGACCGCCAGCUAAGGUCCCAAAGUCAUGGUUAAGUGGGAAACGAUGUGGGAAGGCACAGACAGCCAGGAUGUUGGCUUAGAAGCAGCCAUCAUUUAAAGAAAGCGUAAUAGCUCACUGGUCGAGUCGGCCUGCGCGGAAGAUGUAACGGGGCUAAACCAUGCACCGAAGCUGCGGCAGCGACACUAUGUGUUGUUGGGUAGGGGAGCGUUCUGUAAGCCUGCGAAGGUGACCUGUGAGGGUUGCUGGAGGUAUCAGAAGUGCGAAUGCUGACAUAAGUAACGAUAAAGCGGGUGAAAAGCCCGCUCGCCGGAAGACCAAGGGUUCCUGUCCAACGUUAAUCGGGGCAGGGUGAGUCGACCCCUAAGGCGAGGCCGAAAGGCGUAGUCGAUGGGAAACAGGUUAAUAUUCCUGUACUUGGUGUUACUGCGAAGGGGGGACGGAGAAGGCUAUGUUAGCCGGGCGACGGUUGUCCCGGUUUAAGCAUGUAGGCUGGUUGUCCAGGCAAAUCCGGAUAAUCAAGGCUGAGGUGUGAUGACGAGGCACUACGGUGCUGAAGUAACAAAUGCCCUGCUUCCAGGAAAAGCCUCUAAGCAUCAGGUAACAUCAAAUCGUACCCCAAACCGACACAGGUGGUCAGGUAGAGAAUACCAAGGCGCUUGAGAGAACUCGGGUGAAGGAACUAGGCAAAAUGGUGCCGUAACUUCGGGAGAAGGCACGCUGGUGUGUAGGUGAAGUCCCUGCGGAUGGAGCUGAGACCAGUCGAAGAUACCAGCUGGCUGCAACUGUUUAUUAAAAACACAGCACUGUGCAAACACGAAAGUGGACGUAUACGGUGUGACGCCUGCCCGGUGCCGGAAGGUUAAUUGAUGGGGUUAUCCGUAAGGAGAAGCUCUUGAUCGAAGCCCCGGUAAACGGCGGCCGUAACUAUAACGGUCCUAAGGUAGCGAAAUUCCUUGUCGGGUAAGUUCCGACCUGCACGAAUGGCGUAAUGAUGGCCAGGCUGUCUCCACCCGAGACUCAGUGAAAUUGAACUCGCUGUGAAGAUGCAGUGUACCCGCGGCAAGACGGAAAGACCCCGUGAACCUUUACUAUAGCUUGACACUGAACAUUGAGCCUUGAUGUGUAGGAUAGGUGGGAGGCUUUGAAGCGUGGACGCCAGUCUGCGUGGAGCCAACCUUGAAAUACCACCCUUUAAUGUUUGAUGUUCUAACGUUGGCCCCUGACCGGGGUUGCGGACAGUGUCUGGUGGGUAGUUUGACUGGGGCGGUCUCCUCCCAAAGCGUAACGGAGGAGCACGAAGGUUAGCUAAUCCUGGUCGGACAUCAGGAGGUUAGUGCAAUGGCAUAAGCUAGCUUGACUGCGAGCGUGACGGCGCGAGCAGGUGCGAAAGCAGGUCAUAGUGAUCCGGUGGUUCUGAAUGGAAGGGCCAUCGCUCAACGGAUAAAAGGUACUCCGGGGAUAACAGGCUGAUACCGCCCAAGAGUUCAUAUCGACGGCGGUGUUUGGCACCUCGAUGUCGGCUCAUCACAUCCUGGGGCUGAAGUAGGUCCCAAGGGUAUGGCUGUUCGCCAUUUAAAGUGGUACGCGAGCUGGGUUUAGAACGUCGUGAGACAGUUCGGUCCCUAUCUGCCGUGGGCGCUGGAGAAUUGAGGGGGGCUGCUCCUAGUACGAGAGGACCGGAGUGGACGCAUCACUGGUGUUCGGGUUGUCAUGCCAAUGGCACUGCCCGGUAGCUAAAUGCGGAAGAGAUAAGUGCUGAAAGCAUCUAAGCACGAAACUUGCCCCGAGAUGAGUUCUCCCUGAGACUUUAAGUCUCCUGAAGGAACGUU
rnacentral:rRNA from 1 species